rnacentral:rRNA from 1 species
AGUGAACGCUGGUGGCAGGCCUAACACAAGCAAGUCGAACGAGUGGCGGACGGGUGAGUAAUGUCUGGGAAACUGCCUGAUGGAGGGGGAUAACUACUGGAAACGGUAGCUAAUACCGCAUACCAUCGGAGGUGCCCAGAUGGGAUUAGCUAGUAGGUGGGGUCACGGCUCACCUAGGCGACGAUCCCUAGCUGGUCUGAGAGGAUGACCGGCCACACUGGAACUUAUACACGGUCCAGACUCCUACGGGAGGCAGCAGUGGGGAAUAUUGCACAAUGGGCGCAAGCCUGAUGCAGCCAUGCCGCGUGUAUGAAGAAGGCCUUCGGGUUGUAAAGUCCUUUCAGCGUGGAGGCGUUACCCGCUUAAGAAGCACCAGAUACCUCCGUGCCAGCAGCCGCGGUAAUUC